rnacentral:lncRNA from 1 species
CUAUGACUAAGAAUAUUUUAAAUUAAAAUUUUUAAGAUUUUAGGUCUGAUAGGUAUGAUCUCAUCAUAAUCCUAAAAUCAUUGUCCUGAUUUAUGGAGUUUAUCAUAAUCAUUACAAAAGUAAGAUGCAGCAUAUGAUGAAAAAUAUCUUUUAUUUAUAAAGUGUCAAUUACAUGAGUCUGAAAGAUUAUAAGAAAAAUUAAUCAAAAUACAAAUUUUGAUUGGCUUAUAGGAUAUAUUCCU